UUGUCCACUUCCAGAUAAGAAACCUGCGUAGGACUUCUGUGACACUCCACAGGACGCAGCCCGGCGUCACUCACACAAAGAGGCCAUUCAACCAGCGCGGCAGAAAGCAGAUGCCAUCUUUCAAGCUGCGUACAUGACAGUCGGGAGACGUGGUCGUAGCGGAAUUGGAAGGCUGUUGGCAGUCAGGUAUGUGUGGUCAAGAGAGAAGGGAAUAGAACGCACAGAAAUGAGAUGAAGCAGCUCUCUGGGCUAAACCAACAUCAUUGAGCACAAAAGAGGGGAAGGAGGAACGAUCGGGGAGGAGUAGGCGAGGACACCACGGCAAACAGACAACGAGCACGACGAUCAAGGACGAGAGAGUGAGAUGGCGACCCCGGACAUCGCAAGGUGCACCGCAGACAGAAGCAGGAAACGCCUGCGCACUGCAAAGUGCCGCGACAACCAGGCAAGACUUAACGAAUGUUGAAAUAAUAAAUGAAAGUUAAACCUGCUAUGAUGCGUCCUGUAUCCAUCGUCACUACAACCCACACAUGGACGGCAGGAAGUCCGUCACACUAUCUAAUCUAAUCUAUGGGAUAGUUUGUUUUACCAACGCAAAGGAAAAUUGGCACGAGCGAGACGUGAAUAUGAGUACAUAUUUAUUUAUUACUAACACUAACAAACUACAACAAAAGGCAAACAAAUGGUGCGCACGAUGGCGGAGAACAAACUUGACUACUGAAAACAAUACUAAACAACUGUGACAUAACUAAAACAAAGACUUACUUGACAUGAGCAGGAGGGAAUAAACAGCAUGGCUUGGCAUGAAUCAAGUUGAGGGAUAAGUAAAGUUGCCAGACUGACUUCCUGGCAACUUCCGGUUUAAAUAAUAGCUAUGAUGAUUGAAAACAGGUGCAUGACAUGUGGAUAGGGGCGUGACAUGAGGGCAAGGUGAAAAUCAAUGAGUUGGCAUGGUAACAAUGACAACAAGGAAGUGCAGGAACAGGAACCGAGUGUCCAAAAAAAAUAAAACCAAACAUGACAAAAACAAAACCUGAUCCCAUGGGCGUGACAGAAAGCGACAGAAGCGUUGCCAUGGAGACGAGAGUUUUCUUACGUGCCUGGCUGCAGUCACACCGCGACACCUGUCCGUCAGUAAUAACAGUCCCUAAUAACCUGGACCAAUUCAAACCGUUAUUUGUUUUUUUUAAUUGUUUAAUUUGCAUUACCUCACACGAUGAACACUACAUAUUUUUCUAUAUGACGCCAGAUAACACUCCGUGAGCCAUCAAUUUUUUGCGCUGGCUUAUCCGCCGACCGCCAUGUUGAUUUAGUGAGGAAAAGCAGAACGACACACAUUGUGGAAAUAACAUUAUUCUCCCUGCGUUGGCUAAAUACAAAUAUAUUCCACAACCCCAAACAUGUAUUUUUCAAAGCCUGCAGUGACGAGAAGGGUUAGUGAUGAGCAAAGGCAAUUCCAGGAAAAGUGGGAGAUGCAAUAUUUAUUUGUUGAGCACAGCAGCACCCCGACGUGACUUAUUUGCACAGAGAAAGGAAUACAAUUUGAAACGUCAUUAUACAACUAGACAUGCUGAGGAGUAUGCAACAUUUUUUUUAAGAACUCUUUUCUUGCCGCCCAGCCUCAGCCAGACUCUGCGUCCAGUGGAUCUCAGGUGAAUUGAGUUUGAGACCCCUGCAAUAGAUAAUGGAGAAUGAGAUGAGAGUUUUUUUUUGUUAAUCUGAUAUUUUUAAGACUUGCAAUUUUUAAGACCCGCAUCGUAGCAAGAUCCCAGAUGCAUGACUGCAUGGACAUCUGCGGUCCCUUCCAAAGUUUCUCGUUGUUCCCAUUGGUUUGAGUUUUCUCUUGCCCUGAUGUGGGAUCAGAUCCGAGUAUGUGGCUGUGGUUUGUGAGGCCCUUUGAGGCCUUUGUGAUUAAAGGCUGUAUAAAUCAUCCAUCCAUCCAUCAAUUUCUACCGCUUAUUCCCUUUGGGUUAGCGGGGGGCACUGGAGCCUAUGUCAGCUACAAUUGGGCGGAAGGCGGGGUACACCCUGGACAAGUCGCCACCUCAUCAUAGGGCCAACACAGAUGGACAGACAACAUUCACACUCACAUUCACACACUAGGGCCAAUUUUAGUGUUGCCAAUCAACCUAUCCCCAGGUGCAUGUUUUUGGCAAUGGGUGGAAGCCGGAGUACCCGGAGGGAACCCACGCAGUCACGGGGAGGAUGUGAAAAUCAACUUUGAUUAAUUGUUUACUAAUGUAACCACUUUGGAGGAAAAUACGUUUAUUCCAUGUUACAUUAUCACUGGAGGACUUGAGGAAAAGGAAUGCUAUACACAGUGCAGGACAAUACAAGAAGCUCACUCCUGAAGCUUUAAUGCAAAGUAGGGAUGAUCGAUUUACAGUCGUGGUCAAAAGUUUACAGACCCUUGUAAAGAACAUAAUGUCAUGGCUGUCUUCAAUAAUUUUUAUAACUCUUAUUUUUUUGUGCGAGAGUGAUUGGAGCACAUACUUGGUGGUCACAAAAAACAUUCAUGAAGUUUGGUUCUUUUAUGAAUUUGUUAUGGGUCUACUGAAAAUGUGAGCAAAUCUGCUGGUUCAGAAGUAUACAUACAGCAAUGUUAAUAUUUGGUUACAAGUUUCACUACAUAGGGCGCUUUUGGUAGCCAUCCACAAGCUUUUGGUUGAAUUUUUGACCGAUCCAAUUGACUAAAUUGGUGCAGUUCAGCUAAAUGUUUUGUUUUUCUGACAUGCACUUGUUUCUUCAGCUUUGUCCGAAUGUUCUCAAAGGGGUUUAAGUCAGGACUUUAUGGAGGCUGUUCAAAAACCUAAAUUCUAGCCUUAUUUAGCCAUUACUUUACCACUGUUGACGUGUGUUUUAGGUCACUGUGUCACAAUCCGCUGUCCGGAUCAUGUGUUAUGUGUCACGACGCAGAGUCGAACCGCGUUUCCUUGGCGGCUGGAGCUGCGUGCGCCUCCGCUAGCAGUGCGCCAAGAGAGGCCUCUGCUGACACUGCACUCAGACUCGCCCUCACUCGUGCUGAGUGCAGCACGCCCAAGCAGCGACAAGCCUGCAGCCUGUCAAGAAUCAACACACCUGGAUUUGUUGAGAGGAACCUUUGCCAGAACGUCGCUAUCUUCUCAUUACUCCCAUGUCUUCCGUGAUCGUACCUUGCCUCUCGACAUCCAUCCGGAUUCGUAACUGCCUUCCUCGAUCCACGACCUCCCUGUUCAGAACCAGACCACGCUGCCUCGCUCCUGCCCCCGACAUCUUGCCUGCUCACGAACUCCCUCUUCGCCUUGCCCCUCUGGAUUCAACGAAGGAUACAACCAACACUCACAGACAACAAACCCUGGUAACAUUUACAUUAUUAAUAUCACACAUAGUCAACACUCAUUCACUUAGAGUAGCAUACACACGCCAUGUCUCAUCAAAGGUUUAAAUAAACCUUGUGAACCGCA